CCCAGCUGACCUGAGGUUGGUUGAGCAAUUUGAAAAGGCAACGACGCAGAUGGGUCGGCUUCUACUCUCUGUCUUUGUCUCUGUAUUUAUCUGUACCAGGGCGUUUUUAAAACUUUUAAAUUAUUAUAAAUAUAGUAUUUUUAGAACGGAUCACUAAAAUCCCAAACCCUAUUUUUAUGUUUGAGUUCAGUCCCAUCAAUGAUUUUUACACACUGCACUCCUUACUUUCUAAUAAAUAUUACUACUAACUCCCCACACUAAUCUUAAUGAUAUUAAUGCCCUUCUCUCUCAAAUAUCUAUUUAUCAUUUCUGAUAUAGUGUGUUUCUCGUUAAGUUAUUUUCGCGCGAAGAAGUUCUGUUCAACCUUCUGUUUCAUUUGCGCGUGGUCGAUAGGAAUGGUGAUAUCAAAUCAAAAUCACAAUUCUUAGGUUUAUUUCGCACAAAGAAAACACGGGGCUCACAAUCGAUUCUACCCACGUUCCAUUGAAGACGAUAUCGGAACUUAGGUCGAACACAGGGAUUUAAAGUCAUGAAUUUCAAUAUUAAAAAUCUUGGAGAAGCGACGAAGAAACAAAAGGGGAGCCCGCUUCGAGCGGAGAACCUUCAACUACUGAAAGCAGUAAAUAAAGCAGUAAACAUGAACGGGGGUGAGCGAAGCGAAAGUGAUAGGAUUGGGAUGCGAGCGAGCGGCCUGAUAUAUGUAUAUGUACAUGAGCGAAGUAGAGUGAAAGAGAAGCGUUGUGUCUGAGCUGUGCGUUACUAAAUGGAUAGAAUUCCAUGGAUGCAGCGAGCGAAUGAUGAAAUUGUGUUAUCGGAAGCAUAUAUGUAUUUUACGAAAAUGAUGACAGAAAGAUGUUGUAAUUAUAUAAACUCGAUUAUAAAGAACUCAUCACACUGGUA